rnacentral:rRNA from 1 species
GCUUGUCUCAAAGAUUAAGCCAUGCAUGUCUCAGCAUAAGCUUCAACACGGUGAAACUGCAAAUGGCUCAUUAAAGCAGUUACAAUUUAUUUGAUGGUCACUGUUACAUGGAUAACUGUGGUAAUUCUAGAGCUAAUACAUGCGCAAAUUCCCGACUGUCGCAAGGCGGAAAGGAUGUAUUUAUUAGAUCCAACCAGCCCGGUUCGCCGGAGUCCCUGGUGAGUCAUAAUAACUGAGCGAAUCGCAUGGCCUUGUGCCGGCGAUGGUUCAUUCAAGUUUCUGCCCUAUCAGCUUUCGAUGGUAGGGUAUUGGCCUACCAUGGCGUUAACGGGUAACGGAGAAUUAGGGUUCGAUUCCGGAGAGGGAGCCUGAGAAACGGCUACCACAUCCAAGGAAGGCAGCAGG